UCUAUAGCCCCUCCCACAACUUCAGGCCAUGCCUUCCAAUAUAUAUAUAUAUAUAUAUAUAUAUAUAUAUAUACAUAUGUAUUAAGGCAAAUUUGCCUGGAUUGGUGGGAGGUGCUGGUUU